GCUGGUGUAGCUCAAUUGGCAGAGCAGCUGACUUGUAAUCAGCAGGUUGGCGGUUCGAUUCCGUUCACCAGCUCCA
rnacentral:tRNA from 1 species